rnacentral:rRNA from 1 species
UACGUAGGGGGCAAGCGUUGUCCGGAUUUAUUGGGCGUAAAAGGAGCGUGUAGGCGGCUUUACAGGUCCGUUGUGAAAACUCGAGGCUCAACCUCGAGACGCCGGUGGAAACCGUAAAGCUAGAGUCCGGAAGAGGAGAGUGGAAUUCCUGGUGUAGCGGUGGAAUGCGCAGAUAUCAGGAGGAACACCGGUGGCGAAGGCGGGUCUCUGGGCAGUAACUGACGCUGAGGAGCGAAAGCGUGGGGAGCGAACAGG